GCUCAACUGACACGAGCCUUGGGUCUUGUGCUGAGAGGAAACCUCUUCCAUUGGGAAACCCACCUUGGGCAACGACACUUGUCUCUCUGUGGUCCAACUGCCAUCCAGACACACUUUCUCCGUUGGGUUUAGAAGACCAAGGGCGAUGCCUGCUUCCCAAAAGGGCAGCAUGUGGUCCAGACCGAUCCUCCUGGGUCUCCUCUUCCUCUGGGCUGGGCUUCCUUCUGCUCUCAAUGGCCAGAAAGCGGGGAAAGAAGGCUUCUGUCCUAACAAAACCCCUCCGGGAGUGGUCGAUCCUUGCUUCAUUCCCUGUUCAAGUGACAGCAAUUGCCGUGGCCUGAAGAAGUGCUGCAGAAUUGGGUGUGGGUACGCUUGCGUGGACCCACUGCCCGUGAAAGACGGGGUGUGUCCUCUCAAAAUUGGUUCCUGGGACCCCAAGAAAUGCCGCACGAAAUGCACAAGGGACAAGCAAUGCCCAGGGAAGCAGAAGUGCUGCCCGGUCGGAUGCGGAAGGGAGUGCUUGGAGGCAGAGCCAGAGAAAUAUGGCGUGUGCCGCAGCGGCGGUCCCGACGGGUUCCUCAAUCCCUGCUUCAUCCACUGUUCGAGAGACAACGAAUGCCCCGAAAAGAAGAAGUGCUGCAGGAAGAAAUGCGGAUUGGCCUGCCUUGAACCAACGCCCAGAGUCCAGCCUUUCAAUUCAACAAACCUUGACUCCUGAUCUGCUCCAGGGCCCUAAGCUACAGAGGAAACCUCCAAGAUGAAGACCACAUCUCAGCCGCCCUCCACCACCACUGCAUCCCUCCAGCUUCCUCCUUCCCAGCUUGCUUUACAAACCCAGCAGGGCCACACACAUUGAGGGCACCCUAUAAACCAUCCGUUGCCACUUC